rnacentral:lncRNA from 1 species
UGAAGAUUAAAAUUAACUCUCCCAUGAUAGUGAAGAUUAAAAUUGUAACCCCUGCCUAUUUUCAGAUUUUAAUCACCAAAAUUAUACACACCCUACUUAAAACUUGAGUAUGAGAUCUGCCCAUUUUUAGAUCUAAUCACCUAAACAUCCCUCUUAAUCAUUAAGUGGGAGGCCUGUGACCCACGUGUGGGAUAGUGAGUGAUAAAUCAGAAUCGACUGACUGCCUUGUGGGCAGUCCUAAAACAGGGCUUCAACUGUGAUUGGUAGACGUAGAAUUAGGGGAAGGCACAGGAAGUGAUGUAAGAGAAAGUGUCUUUAAAAGGGAAUAACAACUUCCUGAGUGAGUUCUAAUGGUAGUUCUUCAUUUUUUUAAUGGCAGUUCUUCAUUUUUUUAAGUGGAGGCUGAUGAAGAAUGUGCUGACUGGACCUGAGACUCCGUUUCCUGAGAUACUGAAGUGGUUUGCCAUGUCCUUCUCCACCUCAUUUUAAAGAAGAAGAAACUGAGACCAAAAAGAUUAAGUGACUUGCCCAGGAACACACAUCUAGCAAGUGUCUGAAUCCAGAUUUAAACUCAAGAAGAUGUCUUUCUGAUUCUGUCUAGUGCUCUAUCCACCGAACCACCAACAUGCCUAAAUCAACAUUAUAGGUAAAAAGAAAUUGAGGUUUUGGGAGAUAAAUUGAUGCCCAGGAUCUUAUAACUAGUACCUAAAGUGAGGUUUAUAUUCAAGCCUUAUUACUCACAGUCUAGCUCUCCUUUCACUAUUCCAUACUUCAGAAGAGAAAGGAAAGAAUAAAUGAAAAACACUAAAUGCA